UUUUACACUUACUUAGGGAAAACCACCAUCUAACUAUUACAAACCAGACACCCUACCGUUGGAGAGUAACGAACAGUACGAUAGCGACUAGACAAAAUUUCCCCUGAAGAAGACCGACAAAACCGGUCGAAACGUCGGGCAGUUUUAAUAUAAACAUCGCUUGAUUAUUUUUAACCGACUGAGAAAGCCGACCAAUCA